GAGUUUGUUUGGAUUAAUGAAAAUUGCUAACUUAUCAUUAUCAUGGUUCGACUCCAUGACUUGCUCG
rnacentral:tRNA from 1 species